GAAAGAUCAAUCAGCACAGCAUUAGCUGAUUUUUGUUUACAAAUACUGAAGGGUUAAAGAAGUCAAUGAAAUUUGAAAAAUCUCCGGCAUUUUCUGUUUUUUCUUAAAAAAGGGGUGUAAUCAUGAUAAAACCGCGAAUGAAUCCACAAGAAUUAAUGCAUUUUAUAAAGAAUACAAAAGGAUUUGACCAUCUAAUGGCUAAGGUAAACAUUGUCUCAAUGAAAGAUGGAAAUGGAUUAGCCAAGUUUACUGUUUGCAAGGAACACACGAAUUCAUCAGGAAAAUUACAUUCGGGAUUUAUGUCCAUGGUGUCAGAUUUUGUGUCCAGUUAUUCUUUUUCAUCUCAUGAACUGGGAAACAAUUUUCAUGUCUCAAUAAAUACAAAUUUCGUGUUAUUCAAUACAGAAGCAGAUGUAGGAGACCGAAUUGAAGUUACAACAAGGACAUUACGAGGAGGGUAUUCAUUAGCAUUCUUAGAAGUAUGGAUAAAGAAUGAGUCUACUGGCAAUAUGUUGGCAAAAUGUAAUCACAAUAUGUUUUGUAUUCACCCUAGUAAAAUAGAUGAUCAUCAAACAAAGUCAUGAGUUAAUAAACCUAUUUUGAUAGAGGACCCAAGAGGGACCCAAUUAAAUUUUUUAUCUUAAACACCUAAUAUCUUGUUGUAACUGUUAAAUUUAUCAGAUGUUGAAAGGUUUAUAAGAACAAUUGUAUAGUGCUUGUGAAAGAAUGUUUGUUUAAGUUGCUGUAAAAAUGGGUUAAAAAAUGAAUAAUAAAAAAUCAAAAAUUUCA